GGGUCGAUGCCCGAGGGGUUAAAGGGGGCGGACUGUAAAUCCGCUGGCUUACGCCUACGUUGGUUCAAAUCCAACUCGGCCCACCA
rnacentral:tRNA from 1 species